AAACUGAGGACUCAGAAAUUAAAUAACUUGCCUAAGAUGGUAGAGCUCUCUUCAAACAGAACCAGAAAUUAUGGCGCUAGAAAAAUACCUGCUUAUCUUAGAGCCAAAACAUUUCAAUUUUAAAAAAUGGCCUCGUAUGGCAGAUACAUAAGUCAGGUAUGCCACUCCUGGGAUCAUAUCGGACGGGAGGCAGGAUUAGAUUACAGCUCCAGACAGAGCAGCAUGCAGAGGCUUGCCUUGUGAAUUUUAGCUCCAGAUCGACUGCAAGAACAAACCAGCAAUCCUGAGAGGAUCCACAGACUCUCUGAAGGAAGCAGACUGCUCCUGCAGGACCCAGGAGACCCCCAAAUACUAUCCUGUGCAUGUCCACGGAGCGUUUCUGAUCCAGCUCCCCGUUUUUAAUAAGGAACUCUUCAACAAGAAAUAAACUCCCUCUACUCAUUCAUGGUUCCACCUCAGUUUUAUGAACAGACAAGUGCACAAGCUGGUCCCAAAUAAUGAUGUGUCUGGUAUGUUUAACAUUUGUGUGGCAGCUGGUGGAAAACCUUAAGGUUUUUUUUCCUCCUAUUCCUUCCUGCGAAGGCGUAUGCUUCUUCUAGAAUGUCAUUUGCAUAUACGCAUACACUUAUAUACAUACACACAUAUAGGUACAUAUGAACACAUAUAAAGGACUCAGAUUAUAUGUUAAGUUGGUAGGACAUAAUGUAUUAGGCUUAGCAUUACAGAAGAUUUAGAGAUGAAUCAACACUUGGUUUAUAGUCAAGGAGCUUAAAUCUGAUAGAGAAGACAUAGCAUGUUCACAGAUAACUCUAAUCCAGGAGAAAAUGUAAUAAGGGCCAGGACAAAGAGACAGCUACAGCACUACCGGAGUUUCAAAGGAGGGAGAGAUUGCAUGCAUGCCUCCGAUAGUUGCAGGAACAGUGGAGACAGUGGCAGAGGAGGCAUCUGAGCUGCAUCCUGAAAGAUGGACCGAAUUUGCCUCUGCCAACAUGAGGAGGUGGGAUAUCCAAAUGACAGAGGGCACACAUAAAGAUCCAGAAGUAGGUAAAAAGGCAUGUCUAGGGACCACUGAAGACACUACUUGGGCCAGAACAAGGGGCCCAUGGAGGGGAGUAAAGGUCAAUUGAUUUGGGGAAAGAGGGUAUGUAUUAGUUUUCUUGGUUGCUAUAACAAAUUGCUGGCUGGGCGUGGUGGCUCAUGUCUAUAAUCCUAGCACUUUGGGAGGCCGAGGCACGCAGAUUGCUUGAGCCCAGCUCAAGCAACAUAGCAGAUUGCUUGAGCCCAGCUCAAGAUCAGCCUGGGCAACACAGGGAAACCCCAUCUCUACAAAAAUUUUUAAAAAACUAGCCAAGCAUUGUGGCGCAUACCUGUGGUCCCAGCUACUUGAGAGGCUGAGGCCGGAGGAUCACUUGGGCCUGGGAGGUUAAGGCUGCAGUAAGCUAUGAUGUGCCACUGCACUCCAGCCUGGAUGACAGAG